rnacentral:ncRNA from 1 species
UGUAAAAAUAAAAUAUAGUUUUACUAAUCUUUAAUGAUAGUUUGGAGGAAUCCGCCUGAGGAGUUCGCGUCUGAUUAACUAGUUGGCGAGACAAUAACUAGUUGGCGAGACAAUAGCUUUCCAAGGCAAUAAUCUUGAUCCAAGAGACCAAGACGAUGAUCAGCCACACUGGAACUAAGACACAGCCUACACUCCUACAGGAGGCAGUAGUGGGAAUUUUCUACAAUGGACGAAAGCCUGACAGAGCAA